UGCUUCGGAAUCUGCCCUUCAGUGGGGAAUAACCAGUCGAAAGAUUGGCUAAUACCGCAUACGAACUACGGUUGAAAGCAGGGGAUCGCAAGACCUUGCGCUGAUGGAUGAGCCGAAGUCGGAUUAGCUUGUUGGUGGGGUAACGGCCUACCAAGGCGACGAUCCGUAGCUGGUCUGAGAGGACGACCAGCCACACUGGGACUGAGACACGGCCCAGA
rnacentral:rRNA from 1 species